rnacentral:lncRNA from 1 species
CAGAGGAGUUAAACACUACUAAUAUCUGGAGCUUGACUUUUAUAUAUAUCUGACUCCAGAGCGUGAGUUUUAACUACUAUAUUAUUCAAAGUAAGCUAUAUGCUAACAAGUGUAUGUAAAUGUUCAGAAGAAAAUAAUGGACACCACAAAUUAAUCAGCUGGGAAGAGCUUCAAGGAUGUAAGGAAGCCAAGAUCUUCAAGGGUCCAAAUAUAGUAGUUCCCCCUUUAUCUGUGCUCUUGUUUUCUGUAAUUUCAGUUAUCAGGAAAUAUUAAAUAUCAGGAAAUAUUAAAUGAGAAAUCCAUAAAUUUUUGAUUGUAUACUAUUCUGGGUAAUGUGAUGAAAUCUUAUCCUGCUUCACUGCCCUGCCUAGGAAGUGCUUUGCCCAGCGCAUCCAUGCUACCUACUUGUUAGUCACUUAGUAGCUCUCUGGCUAUCAGAUCAACAAUACUGGUACUCAGUGCUCAUAUUCAAGUAAAACUUACUUAAUAAGGGACCCAAAGAACAAAAGUAGUGAUGCUGGCAAUUCAGAUAUUCCAAGAGAAGCCAUAAAGUGCUUCCUUUAAGUGCAAGUUUAUCAUAGGUAGGUACAUAUAGGGGGGAAAAAAGUAGUAUAUAUAGGGUUUAGCACAUUCAGUAGUUUUAGCUAUCCCCUGAGGGUCUUGGAGCAUAAAAGGUAAAGGGGAUUUUACCUUUUAUACAGAUAAAGUGGACUGCUGACUGUGUUCAUCAUGUAGCAGAGGCUGGCUCCCUGGGCUUGCAUCCCUUUUCCUCCAUGUUCUCAUUGUGUGGUCUUGAGCAAAUUUCUAAUCCUUCUGUGCCUUUAUUU